UUCCUACUUCCUCCGUUCGGAAUUACUUGUCGUAGAAAUGGAUGUAUCUAGACAUUUUUUAGUUCUAGAUACAUCCAUUUCUGCGACAAGUAAUUCGAAACGAAGGAAGUAUUUU
rnacentral:pre_miRNA from 1 species